GAAGGUGGCAAGCGUUGUUCGGUAUUACUGGGCUUAAAGCGUGUGUAGGCGGAAAUGUAAGCGUUGUGUGAAAUCCCCCCGGCUUAACCGGGGAACUGCGCGACGAACUGCGUUUCUUGAGGCAAGUAGGGGUACAUGGAACUCUUGGUGGAGCGGUGGAAUGCGUAGAUAUCAAGAGGAACGCCAGUGGAGAAAUCGGUGUACUGGGCUUGUACUGACGCUGAGACACGAAAGCGUGGGGAGCGAACGGGAUUAGAUACCCCGGUAGUCCACGCCGUAAACGAUGCCUACUAGGUUGUGGUGGUUCUGACACCCAGCACAGCCCGAAGCAAAAGUGUUAAGUAGGCCGCCUGGGGGAGUACGGUCGCAAGGCUAA
rnacentral:rRNA from 1 species